CCGGUGGCGGAUGGGCAUGCGGCGCAUUAGCUAGUCGGCGGGGUAACGGCCCACCGAGGCGACGAUGCGUAGGGGUUCUGAGAGGAAGGUCCCCCACACUGGUACUGAGACACGGACCAGACUCCUACGGGAGGCAGCAGUGAGGAAUAUUGGUCAAUGGGCGCGAGCCUGAACCAGCCAAGUCGCGUGAGGGAUGACGGUCCUACGGAUUGUAAACCUCUUUUGCCGGGGAGCAAGCGUGCGUUCGUGAACGCGCGUCGAGAGUACCCGGAGAAAAAGCAUCGGCUAACUCCGUGCCAGCAGCCGCGGUAAUACGGAGGAUGCGAGCGUUAUCCGGAUUUAUUGGGUUUAAAGGGUGCGUAGGCGGGAUGCCAAGUCAGCGGUAAAAAUGCGGUGCUCAACGCCGUCGAGCCGUUGAAACUGGCGUUCUUGAGUGGGCGAGAAGUAUGCGGAAUGCGUGGUGUAGCGGUGAAAUGCAUAGAUAUCACGCAGAACUCCGAUUGCGAAGGCAGCAUACCGGCGCCCUACUGACGCUGAGGCACGAAAGCGUGGGUAUCGAACAGGAUUAGAUACCCUGGUAGUCCACGCCGUAAACGAUGA
rnacentral:rRNA from 1 species